rnacentral:rRNA from 1 species
UACGUAGGGUGCGAGCGUUGUCCGGAAUUAUUGGGCGUAAAGAGCUCGUAGGCGGUCUGUCGCGUCGGUCGUGAAAACCCGCAGCUCAACUGUGGGCUUGCAGCCGAUACGGGCAGGCUAGAAUUCGGUAGGGGAGACUGGAAUUCCUGGUGUAGCGGUGAAAUGCGCAGAUAUCAGGAGGAACACCGGUGGCGAAGGCGGGUCUCUGGGCCGAUAUUGACGCUGAGGAGCGAAAGCGUGGGGAGCGAACAGG